rnacentral:rRNA from 1 species
AUUGAACGCUGGCGGCAUGCCUUACACAUGCAAGUCGAACGGCAGCACGGAGCUUGCUCUGGUGGCGAGUGGCGAACGGGUGAGUAAUAUAUCGGAACGUACCCAAGAGUGGGGGAUAACGUAGCGAAAGUUACGCUAAUACCGCAUACGACCUAAGGAUGAAAGUGGGGGCUCGCAAGACCUCAUGCUCCUGGAGCGGCCGAUAUCUGAUUAGCUAGUUGGUGAGGUAAAGGCUCACCAAGGCAUCGAUCAGUAGCUGGUCUGAGAGGACGACCAGCCACACUGGAACUGAGACACGGUCCAGACUCCUACGGGAGGCAGCAGUGGGGAAUUUUGGACAAUGGGGGCAACCCUGAUCCAGCAAUGCCGCGUGAGUGAAGAAGGCCUUCGGGUUGUAAAGCUCUUUUGUCAGGGAAGAAACGGUGAAGGCUAAUAUCCUUUGCUAAUGACGGUACCUGAAGAAUAAGCACCGGCUAACUACGUGCCAGCAGCCGCCGUAAAAC